rnacentral:rRNA from 1 species
GAUCAUGGCUCAGGACGAACGCUGGCGGCGUGCUUAACACAUGCAAGUCGAACGCUGAAGCCUAGCUUGCUGGGUGGAUGAGUGGCGAACGGGUGAGUAACACGUGAGUAACCUGCCCCCUUCUUUGGGAUAACGCCCGGAAACGGGUGCUAAUACUGGAUAUUCACUGAUCUUCGCAUGGGGGUUGGUGGAAAGGUUUUUUUCUGGUGGGGGAUGGGCUCGCGGCCUAUCAGCUUGUUGGUGGGGUGAUGG